AGGACGAACGCUGGCGGCGUGCUUAACACAUGCAAGUCGAGCGGAAAGGCCCUUCGGGGUACUCGAGCGGCGAACGGGUGAGUAACACGUGAGUAAUCUGCCCCUAGCUCUGGGAUAGCUCCGGGAAACCGGGAUUAAUACCGGAUACGACCACCUUAGACAUCUUUUGUGGUGGAAAGAAUUUCGGCUAGGGAUGAGCUCGCGGCCUAUCAGCUUGUUGGUGGGGUAACGCCUACCAAGGCGACGACGGGUAGCCGGCCUGAGAGGGCGACCGGCCACACUGGGACUGAGACACGGCCCAGACUCCUACGGGAGGCAGCAGUGGGGAAUAUUGCGCAAUGGGCGAAAGCCUGACGCAGCGACGCCGCGUGGGGGAUGAAGGCCUUCGGGUUGUAAACCCCGUUUCAGCAGGGACGAAGCGAAAGUGACGGUACCUGCAGAAGAAGCGCCGGCUAACUACGUGCCAGCAGCCGC
rnacentral:rRNA from 1 species